GAAGAUAAAGAGAUGCCAAGUACAUGUAUGGAGGAUAAUGACCAUUUUGUCAUAGCCUCAGCCAACAAAAGAAUUUAAGCAGAAGGCAUAGGGUCAGCUUUGCAUGUUAGAAAGGGGAUUCUGAAAUGUGGAAGAGAAAAAGCAAGCAUAUGAGCCAGGAGUGAUGAUAUAGUAAACUACUUAAAUAGACAAGGGGAGAAGAGAUGAAGACCUGACCAAGACUAAGACCAUGGGGAUGAGAGGAAAAAUCUUCUGCUCAUAAAGACACUGAAUGCUGUUGAUAGAUUUUUCAAAUCCCAUUUUUACAGUGAACUCAAUGUGUAUGGUUCUAGAGUCAGCAGAGCACUUUCAUCUUCAUGAUCUGAUGCCCAUCAUUGCCUAGACUCAGUGAUGUCAUUGCAGAUGGAAUCAAGAUGAGGUCACAUGGACGUGACCUUUUUUCAACAUGACUGGUGUCCUCAAAGGAGGGGAAAAUUUUGAUACAGAGAGACACACACAGAGGGGAAAUGAUGAGGAUACACCUAGGAAGAGGACAGCCAUGAGAAGACAGAGGCAGCAAUUGGAGUUAUGCUGCCACAAGCCAAGGAUUACCUGGAGCUACCAGGGGCUAAAAGAUGCAAGGAAGGGUCUCACCUAAACGCCACAGAGAGAGCACAGCCUGGCUGACACCUUCAUUUCAGACAUUUCACCUCCAGAACCCUGA
rnacentral:lncRNA from 1 species